ensembl:snRNA U6 U6 spliceosomal RNA
GUGCUCGCUUUGACAGCAGAUAUACUAAAACUGGAAUGAUACAGAGAAGAUUAGCAUGGCCUCUGGGCAAAGAUGACACACAAAUGACAUGCUUCAUGUCUCA